GCUCCGAAAUUGGAGAACCUUCAGGGCGUUUUUCAAGUAUUCGUCAAUUUUGUAUUAUUUUUUAAGACAUACUCUCCUAAUCGGGGCGGAGAGAAAUCCAACAAAUCAAAAACAUGAAAAUUGGUCCAGCAGAUCUCGAGUUAUAAACGCUGUAACACAUAACACGACUUUGUUUUAUAUAUAUAGAUUUCAUCCAGAGACCAUCUCGACUCACACUUGGAGAAAAAAGUCAAAGGACAACUGAUUGCGUCGGAACGUAAAGCCUUCAACCGAAAAAAAUGUGUCAAGUAAGGUGAUCUAGCAGCCUGAGCAGUAAUGAGGUCAUCCGAUUUUAUUGUGCGUGUUUGCCUAUUUAUUUGUUCGUAUGUCUUUCUAUAUAUGUGUCUCUCUGUCUGUUUCCCUGUCCAUCUCUCUGCCUGUCUUCCCAAGCACCGAGCUAUUUAAGCGGGACUUGCGCUUUGAGUGAAAGUCGUUCUAUAUAAAGAGCAGCAGCUGCAUCAUAUCUUCAGUCGCCUGGCGGGGACUUACAGGAAAUAUUUGGAGAAAAUACUUAGAAAAAAUACUUAGAGGAAAUAUAUAAAUACUUGGAAGAAGGGAUUAUAACAAAAAUCUAAAUUCUAUAAAAUACAUAUGAAUAUAUAUUUAAUUUAUAUAUAAUUUGUCCACUCUAGCUCAAAAGAUGUAGGAAAGACAACAAAUAAUUUCAAGACUCUAGCUUAAAUUUUCUGAAGCCGAAGCGUUCAAACAUACGCCCAGAGCCAGAGUAGCCCUCAGCGGGCCCCUAGGCAACCAUCAAUUUGGAAGUUUUUCACGUCUUAUAAAUUUGACUGUCAGAAUGUAAUAAUAUCAAUAAAAUUACUGCCUAUACUAUAUUAAACAUUUCGCUUUUGAAGCUGAACAACGUAA